CACUCUGUCCCAUACAGAGGUAACAGUGGAAACAACCUGUCAUAUACACUGCCAUGUCAUCUGUGGUUGCUGAUCAUGGAUUAAAUAGACCAUUUACAUGUCCUGUGUUUUCAGGUGGAGGAUGAUGAGACAGUCUCUGUCUGUUCAGAGAGAGCUUUGGCGGAAGAAGGAAAUCUUCCUCCCCCUGAGCCUAUGGCCUCCACAUCUAGGCCAAGGGGAUCACAAGUGGUUGGAGCAGACAAUGUGAGAG